CCUACGGGAGGCUGCAGUGGGGAAUAUUGGACAAUGGGGGAAACCCUGAUCCAGCGACGCCGCGUGAGUGAAGAAGUAUUUCGGUACGUAAAGCUCUAUCAGCAGGAAAGAAAAUGACGGUACCUGACUAAGAAGCCCCGGCUAACUACGUGCCAGCAGCCGCGGUAAUACGUAGGGGGCAAGCGUUAUCCGGAUUUACUGGGUGGAAAGGGAGCGUAGACGGCAGCGCAAGUCUGGAGUGAAAUGCCGGGGCCCAACCCCGGAACUGCUCUGGAAACUGUGAAGCUGGAGUGCAGGAGAGGUAAGCGGAAUUCCUGGUGUAGCGGUGAAAUGCGUAGAUAUCAGGAGGAACACCGGCGGCGAAGGCGGCUUACUGGACUGUAACUGACGUUGAGGCUCGAAGGCGUGGGGAGCAAACAGGAUUAGAUACCCGAGUAGUC
rnacentral:rRNA from 1 species